rnacentral:lncRNA from 10 species
GCACGAUCUCGGCUCACUGCAAGCUCCGCGUCCCAGGUUCACGCCAUUCUCCUGCCUCAGCCUCCCAAGCAGCUGGGACUACAGGCGCCUGCCACCACGCCUGGCUAAUUUUUUUUUUUUUUUAAUUUUUGGUAGAGAUGGGGUUUCACCGUGUUAGCCAGGAUGGUCUGGAUCUCCUGACCUCGUGAUCGACCCGCCUCGGCCUCCCAAAGUGCUGGGAUUACAGGCGUGAGCCACCAUGCCUGGCCCCUCACUUUCAAUUUUCUGCACGAGUUUGUGUAAAAUGGAAGAUAUGUAUUCCUAGGAUGUUUGUCAGAAUGUGGUGGUGAAUCCUGGAGUUCAUUCGUGGAAAGCCUUUGACUACUGAUAUCUUUCUGUAAUGAUUCUGGAACGGUUCAGGUUGGCUGUGCCUUCUUGUGUCAGUUUUGGCGGGUUUGGUUUCCUAGCAAUUGGUGACCUUUUUCACUGUUUUCAAACUGACUGGAAUAAAAUGGUCCAUAAUACCCGCUUCAUCCCAGAUUGCAUUUGUUUAAAUUUUGGAGUCACAGGAGAGUUAGUUGCAGGGAAAGCACAAGGAGCACCCAUACGUAUAUUCUUCAACUGCAUCCUCCAGUUGUUACCACUUUCUCACAUCUGCUUCAGCCCUCCCUCCAUCCUGCACCCCUGUCUUUCUCUAAGCGUGUGUGCGUGCUUGUAUUUUUGUUUUAUUGUUUUGUGGAAUCAUUUGAGAUCCCUUGGAAUCAUUUAGAUCCAUCAUCGGUAAAUACUGCAGCAUGUAUCGCCUGCAAGGAAGCAUGGGCUCCCACAAAACCUUAAUGCCACCAUGACACUCAGGAAAUGUAACAUGGAGACCACACAAUUUUCUACUGUAUGAUCACAUGAAACAUUCUCCGAUUGUCCCCAUGGUCCCAUAGUAUCCCUCAUAGCUGCUUUCUAACAAAAUUCUCUUUCCAACCAAACAUCAUGCUUUGCAUUUAGUUGUCAAGUCUCUUUUGAGACAGGGUCUCCCUCUGUCGCCCACGCUGGCAUGUAGUGUCACGAACCCGGCUCACUGUAGCCUCGACCUCCAGGCUCAAGCCAUCCUCCCACCUCAGCCUCCUGAGUAGCUUGGACCACAGGCAAGCGCCAACCGCUCGCCUAGGUCUCCCAAAUUGACGGGAUUACGGGGGUGAGCCAUGAGCCAUGGUUCCCGGCCCAUCAAGUCUCUUCAGUGUCCUUUAAAGUGUGCUUUUUUUUUUUUUUUUUUUUUGAGAUGGAGUCUCCCUCUGUUGCCCAGGCUGGAGCACAGUGGCACGAUCUCGGCUCACUGCAAGCUCCACCUCCCGGGUUCACGCCAUUCUCCUGCCUCAGCCUCCCGAGUAGCUGGGACUACAGGCGCCCGCCACCACGCCCGGCUAAUUUUUUGUAUUUUUUAGUAGAGACAGGGUUUCACCGUCUUAACCAGGAUGGUCUCCAUCUCCUGAUCUCGUGAUCAGCCCGCCUUAAAGUGUGCUUUAAACCAGUGCAGUCAUUGUCAGGAAGCCCUUGAACGUAGGUUUGUCGAAUGGCUUCCUUGUGAUUAGAUUCAGGUAGGUAUAACAUUUUUGGCAGGACUACUGCAUAGCAGACAUGCUGUUCUUCUCAGUGCACGACAUCAGCAGAUUCUCCAUGUCGGUUUGUCUCAUGACUGGCGAUGUUCAUCUUGACCAUGUGCUCAGGGCGCUGUUCCAGAUUACCCCAUUGUGAAAGUGCCAUCUUCUCUUUGUAUUUAAUUAGCUAUGCGCUGUUACUGCAUGGGCACUCUGUGUGAAUAUCCAGUUCCCCCACAAUAUCUUCUUUCUAUCUUUUGGAUGUCUGCAUAUGAUAUGGCUUGGAACCGUGUCCCCACCAAGUCUUCUGUCAAACUGUGACUUCUAAUGCUGGAGGUGGGGCCUGGUGGGAGGUGACUGGAUCAUGGGGCUGGAUUUCUCAGGAAUGGUUUAGCAGCAUCCACUUGGUACUGUCCCUGUGGUCGCGAGUGAGUUGUCAUGAGUCUGGUUGUUUAAAAGUGUGUGACACCUCCCCCUGUUCUCUCUCUCUUGCUCCUGCUCCUACCAUGUAACAAGUACCUGCUCCUGUUUUGCCUUCUGCCAUGAUUGCAAGUUUCCUGAGUCCUCCUAGAAGCAGAAGCCGCUAUGCUACCAGUACAGCCUGCAGAACCAUGAGCUCUUCUCUUUAUAAAUGACUCGGUCUUGGAUAUUUCUAUAUAGCAACACGAGAACGGACGUAACAUCGUUUGUGCUUAUUUCUCCCUUUUCUUUCCUGAUAGCGGUGCCCUUCUCCCUUGUUUUCUUGACCAGUCUCACAAGAGGUUUACCAAUUUCAUUCUUCUUCCAAACACCCAACUUCUGGUUUUGUGAUCCUUAUGCUUGUUUCCACUUUCACUGAUUUCUGCUUUUACCUUGAUGACUUCCUUCUACUUUCCUUGGUCUUACGUUGGGCUUCUUUUUCGAACGUUUUCUCUUUAAUUGUCUGCGAUCCUCUUUUAAAUAUAUGCUUUUAGCAGCCUACACGUCCCUCUCAGGACUCCUUUACUGGUGCCGACAAGGGUUUAUGAGUAGUAUUUUUGUAAUCAUCCAGUCCCAAAUAUGGGAAACAAUGAAAAUCACAACUUCCAUGGGACGGAAUGAAUACAUUGUGGUAUGUUAAUACAAUGGAAUACUAUUUCAGCAACGGAAAAGUACAAAGUACUCCUCCAUGGAAUAAUAGGCGCGAAUCUUACAAAGAUAACAUCGAGGGAAAGAAGCAAGGGACAACACGGACAUGCUUAAUGAUUCCAUUCCUAUAACUUCAAAUGACAGGCAACACUAACCUACCUUGUUGAAGAAUGCAUACUUAGGAUAUAAAACCACAGAGAAGAGCAAGGAAAGGACAAUCAGAAAAGUCAGGAUGUUGGUUUCCCCUUGCAGUAGGAGUGGGGCUGAGCUCAGGCAGGGACACCCCAGGAGGCUCUGGGGAAUGCUGGCGGUGUUCUUCUCUGGGACCUAGGGGAGCGUUCCUGUGCAGGUGCACUGGACAAUCAUUUAUUAAACUAUGCACAUAAACUGUGAUGUUUUCUUUCUGUACGUUGCCUGCCACCAUAAGCAGACAAAACAAUAGUGCUAAGGGAAGUAACACUGCAUUAAACAGGUAAGUAUUUUAUAACCAGAAGGAUAACCAAAAUUUUAUUUUCUCUAUUUAUAGCAGAUCUCCUUGCGAGUACUAAUAUCAGUUUAUUGAUAGUGAUAGCUUGAUUUCAAAUUCUCAUAGAUUUCACCAAACAUCGUAGGAACGAUGCUUACAUAAUUGUGAUAUUAAUUUCGAUGUUUUGGUAAAUAUUUUAUAUUUGGGUGGCAAGUUUUCAUUCAGAAUUUGUGAUUAUGUGUUGGAACACCAUGCACUUGGUACAUUUUUCUCACGGGAGAUUUGUCACCUCCCCAUCCACUUAUUCUCAGGGGCAGACGACUUAGGACCUGAGAAAAAGAAAUUAAGGCAACAAC